UCACCUGAAAGUGAGAACAGGCAUUCACAUGGGACUUUUGUAGCUGGCAUUGCAAGGUAUUUGCAUGCCACAUAUGCUAAACAUUAGUAUGCCCCUUCAUGGUUCGACCAUCAUUCCAGAGGACAUGCUUCUUGCUGAUGACGCUCAUUUAAAAA